GGGGAUGUAGCUCAGUGGUAGAGCGUCCGCUUUGCAUGCGGAAGGUCCGGGGUUCGAUCCCCCGCAUCUCCA
rfam:Nematostella vectensis strain CH2 x CH6 NEMVEscaffold_161_Cont16368, whole genome shotgun sequence.